ACAAUGGUCUUUUUAAAGACCCCCCAUAUUUUCAAAAUAGUGAGA
rfam:Mesocricetus auratus contig012483, whole genome shotgun sequence.